GGUUGGUCUGAGAUGUUUACACUGGUGUUUACAGCUAAUUGAUCACAACCAGUUACAGAUUCCUUUGUUCCUUCUCCACUCCCACUGCUUCACUUGACCAGCCUUAA
rnacentral:Y_RNA from 1 species